UUCUCUUAUUUCUUCACUAUCAUACUCUUCCACAGUAGUAAUGAAAUUAGGCGAUGAAGAUGGGUUCAAUUUUGCUUCAUCUUCGAUCAAACAAAACUACUUUUUUUUGUGGGUGUAUGCAGCAAGAAAAUGGCGAAAUGAUGGUGGCGAGAAUAAAAUUGGCAAAUGAGUUGAGAUAUUCCUAUGCUUCUUGAAUCAAUUUUCGUAUGCCUCUGCUAGUUUCAGGGAUUUGAACCAUCGAAAAAGGCAGAAUUCUUCUUCGAGAAAUAGGGGUCUUGGAGAGCAUUUCAAGUUUAAGAAUUUUUUAGAGGAAAACACCCUCUUCUUUUGAUGUUUCCGAGCCAUUGGCACAUCGUAGUUCGUCGGAGCAGAUCUUCUGUGGGUGAGAAGUCUUCAAGCUGGUUGUUUCAGUUUGCUGCACAAAAAGAGGUUGAAAGUUGAAGGUUUGACCUCUUUGAUCCCACUGUUGGUUGCUGCUCAAUUGGAAUGUUUGAAUGUCGUACUGAUCUCCUCCCUCACUCAGAAUGAUUUAGUCUCAGCCUCUCUUUGUUCCUUCCCCUAAAUUUCUGAAGUGUCAUCUUGUUUUCUUUAGUUGAGAGUUAUUCGUGGAAUGAUAAAUGAUUAAGAGGGUGCUCGUGGUUAUAAGUUUUAAGCUUUAAAUGUGUUGUGUUGUUUCUUUUGUUGUUAGCUUUAUAAUCAAUUUUUGUAUGUAUCCAAUUUAAAUUUUGUUUCAUUACUGCCUAUGGCUGAAACCUUGCUGCUCCUGUAUCUUUUUUUUUAGUCUCUGUUUUCCACUGAGGUUUGGUUCAAAUUAGUCAGUGAUCCCUCAUUAAGACAUUUUUAAUGUGUUUGAAAGAUGACAUAAUGCUUUCAUUUUUAAUAAGAAGACCACCAUAUGCCCUUUUCUUGUUACUAUCUUGUUGUUUUACAAUGUUUAUUUUUGGGUGCUGAUUUUGCUCAAUUUUGCAUCUCUAGAAAUUUCAUCAGCCUUGAAUUAGAUUGGAGUAAUGAGAAAGCAUUUCCUGUCUAGCUAACUUAUUAGCAUACAUUUGCAUUCACAAUGUGCCAUAUUUAGCUCUCUUAUUCUUAUGUGGUUAGUGUUUGGGCAUUGCUGUAGUUUU